GAUGAACGCUGGCGGCGUGCCUAAUACAUGCAAGUCGAGCGAAGCGGGGACGGGUGAGUAACACGUGGAUAACCUCCUUUAAGACUGGGAUAACUUCGGGAAACCGGAGCUAAACCGGUUACUUAUAGAUGGAUCCACGCUGCAUUAGCUAGUUGGUAAGGUAACGGCUUACCAAGGCAAGGAUGCAUAGCCGACCUGAGAGGAUGAUCGGCCACACUGGAACUGAGACACGGUCCAGACUCCUACGGGAGGCAGCAGUGGGGAAUCUUCGGCAAUGGGCGAAAGCCUGACGGAGCAACGCCGCGUGAGUGAAGAAGGUCUUCGGAUCGUAAAACUCUGUUAGUAGGGAAGCGUUACCUACUCAGAAAGCCACGGCUAACUACGUGCCAGCAGCCGCGGUAAUUC
rnacentral:rRNA from 1 species